ACCGCCGGGGGCGGGGCCUGCGCCCAUCGCGAGAUCGGGACGGGGCCGCCCCCCGCCCCGCCCCGCCCGGGGCUGAGGGAGACCGCCUCCGCAGGGUGUCCUACUGUUUCCCUUGCUUUUCCCCGGCUUUUCCCCUUUGUCUUCUCUUCUUCCUGAUUAAACAAAUCACCGGGCCUGCAGGUGCCUCAGUAGUGUGCAGAAAAUUGUGCUGUGAAAGGCCAGUGUCCACAAAGGAGACAGAGGAGCCCUGCAAGAAUCUGUGUCACCUUGCCUUGCCUUGCACUCAGGAAAGGGAUCUGUAAUGUCACGGGAGGUUCAAUGUCUGCACCACAAGCACAAUUACAUAAUGAUGCAUCACCCACAGUAUCUAUUGGUGUGCAUUUGUCAACAAGGACAAGAGGCAUAUGCUUAGAGGGAUCAAUGAUCCUGUUAACACAUUGCAUCAGAGGGAUGAGCAGACACCCCCAUGGAAAUGGAUCCCAGGAGCAGCUCUGUUUGGAAACCUCCUGA
rnacentral:lncRNA from 1 species